AAAAAAAACACACUUUAUUGCGCUCCAGCUCCGCUCUAACUAGCUCUCUUUGAGGACGUGCCAAACUAGUCACUAGGCAGGUGUUAUGCAGAUGUGUUACUUGGUGACAUCACCAUGUUACGUGAGAAAAGGCAGGACUUCAAGCAAGGCGUUUCAGGCAGUUCAGGAGCAGUGUUUCAGUGGGGGAGAGUAACUCCCUUUGGUGUGGGCUUUGUAACGUUGCAGACCUUCACACUAAAGGAAUGGGAAAAAGCACAAAAGGUCCUCUUUAAAAUAAAUAGUGGCCAUUAAUAAGCCAUUAGAGUCCCUCUUGUUGAACAUUAGAGUUCAAAACCAAGGCUACUAAAGCGCCCAAGGCAUGCUCAUACUUAAAUUGAGUGGUAUUUCUCUGAUUAUAGUGUGUUGACGAUGUCUGAAAGCAAAUAUUUGCAUCUGCAAGAAUAGAUUUGUAUAAUUCAGGCAUGAUUGUGGCUUUUUGCUUUUGAACCAAAAUGUGUUCCACUGCUGUCUUAUUUUAUUCCCCACAACAACAAAAAAAAAAAUCAUUGAAUUAAGUAAUGACCUGAGCCUUGGUGCCUGAAAACACAAAAUAUGAUGCUGAAAUGGCUUGUAAACACUCCAGGUAAUUGCAUGCAGGUUUCCGCUGAUGAGAAGUAUCUAUUAGGGGUCCAUUUUCAUUACGAUGCUGGCAAUUACUGUUUUAUUUUGGACAUUGAUCAUUCCAAUUUGGACCCAGAAAGGCAGAGUCAGGUGUUGUGAGAGCAUUUAUUGGAAUUUAAAGAAAUGUUUGGGUAUCAGGAAAUGCUCUGGUCUGGUUUUACAUGUCUUUUUCUUGCUUUCUUGUCAUGAAAUCUGUACAAUGCUUCAUGGGAUUGAUGAAAUGAGGUGGUUGAUGAUGAAACAAAAAAAAAUGUGGGAUUUAAUCUUUAAACUGGGGCUGAAACUGUGCUACUUGAGACUGGAGCAGGAAUUAACAUCUCACUUAUGUAUAUUUUAGCCUCAUUCAGCAUAUGCAAAUCACAAACUGUGUCACUUUUGAGCACUGGCCCAUUUCCUCGCAUGUUCAUUCUGAGUGUCCCAGUAAUUCUGUUUCCCUCCACGUCUGAGGGAAGAUGACAGGCAGAGGUGGUCGGCUUGAAAGCGGUUCACUCUGGCAGACAAGCUCUCACAUUGAACUCUUUUUCCCUCCUCCGAGGUAACGCGUCUCCCGAGAAACACCGAGAAACAUAUUGUUCAUAAUCAAAGCAAUUAGGAAGCUGUAGUCUGCUGUACCAUCUGACUGGGAUCGGUUCUUUGCACUUGUGUUUAGAUCACGGAAGAAAGCGAAAGCGGAUGGGUUUUGUGAGGCAAUUACAAUGCUUUGCUGGAGAUACUUUUCAUUUAACGAUCAGAAGACUUUUUCUAUUGGAUUUUGGCUGCCAAUGAAUCACACAGCCAUGCCUAAUUCCAUGUCACUCUCCUUGUAUCUCGGUGGAUUUGCGCACACAAUUUCAGUUUUUUAAUGGACUGCCAAUGGGCUCUGGAAAAAAGCAUCUCACCCUAGCCCUCAUUUGCUGUCUAUAA